AGAGUUUGAUCAUGGCUCAGGACGAACGCUGGCGGCGUGCUUAAUACAUGCAAGUCGAGCGAGGCCUUGGAAUUGGAGUCCUUCGGGAUGAAGAGUCCUUGGCCUAGCGGCGGACGGGUGAGUAACGCGUGGGCAACCUACCCCAAAGUCCGGGAUAACAGUGGGAAACCGCUGCUAAUACCGGAUGGCUUUACCUGAGGGCAUCCUUGGGUAAAGAAAGGUUACGCUUUGGGAUGGGCCCGCGUCCCAUUAGCUAGUUGGUGAGGUAACGGCUCACCAAGGCCACGAUGGGUAGCCGGCCUGAGAGGGUGAACGGCCACACUGGGACUGAGACACGGCCCAGACUCCUACGGGAGGCAGCAGUAGGGAAUAUUGCGCAAUGGGCGGAAGCCUGACGCAGCGACGCCGCGUGAGCGAAGAAGGCCUUCGGGUCGUAAAGCUCUGUCCUUGGGGAAGAAGGCGAAAGCUUGACGGUACCCAAGAAGAAAGCCCCGGCUAACUACGUGCCAGCAGCCGCGUUAAU
rnacentral:rRNA from 1 species